rnacentral:rRNA from 1 species
UACGUAGGUGGCAAGCGUUAUCCGGAAUUAUUGGGCGUAAAGCGCGCGCAGGCGGUUUCUUAAGUCUGAUGUGAAAGCCCACGGCUCAACCGUGGAGGGUCAUUGGAAACUGGGGAACUUGAGUGCAGAAGAGAAAAGCGGAAUUCCACGUGUAGCGGUGAAAUGCGUAGAGAUGUGGAGGAACACCAGUGGCGAAGGCGGCUUCUUGGUCUGUUCUUGACGCUGAGGCGCGAAAGCUAGGGGAGCAAACGGG